rnacentral:rRNA from 1 species
GACGAACCGUGCGAACGUUGUUCGGAAUCACUGGGCUUAAAGGGCGCGUAGGCGGGUUUGCAAGGCUGUGGUGAAAGCCUCCAGCUUAACUGGAGAAGUGCCAUGGAUACUGCACAUCUUGAGGAGGGUAGGGGCAUCUGGAACGGUCGGUGGAGCGGUGAAAUGCGUUGAUAUCGACCGGAACUCCGGUGGCGAAGGCGAGGUGCUGGACCCUUUCUGACGCUGAGGCGCGAAAGCCAGGGGAGCAAACGGG